rnacentral:rRNA from 1 species
CCUACGGGCUGCAGCAGUGAGGAAUAUUGGUCAAUGGACGAGAGUCUGAACCAGCCAAGUAGCGUGAAGGAUGACUGCCCUAUGGGUUGUAAACUUCUUUUAUAUGGGAAUAAAAUGUUCCACGUGUGGGAUUUUGUAUGUACCAUAUGAAUAAGGAUCGGCUAACUCCGUGCCAGCAGCCGCGGUAAUACGGAGGAUCCGAGCGUUAUCCGGAUUUAUUGGGUUUAAAGGGAGCGUAGGUGGAUUGUUAAGUCAGUUGUGAAAGUUUGCGGCUCAACCGUAAAAUUGCAGUUGAAACUGGCAGUCUUGAGUACAGUAGAGGUGGGCGGAAUUCGUGGUGUAGCGGUGAAAUGCUUAGAUAUCACGAAGAACUCCGAUUGCGAAGGCAGUUCACUGGACUGCAACUGACACUGAGGCUCGAAAGUGUGGGUAUCAAACAGGAUUAGAUACCCGGGUAGUC